rnacentral:rRNA from 1 species
UACAGAGGGUGCAAACGUUGUUCGGAUUUAUUGGGCGUAAAGCGCGUGUAGGCGGCUUAGAUAGUCGGGUGUGAAAGCCCAGGGCUCAACCCUGGAAGUGCAUUCGAUACUACUAAGCUUGAGUCCCGGAGAGGGUAGUGGAACUGUCGGUGUAGAGGUGAAAUUCGUAGAUAUCGAUAGGAACACCGGUGGCGAAGGCGGCUACCUGGACGGUGACUGACGCUGAGACGCGAAAGCGUGGGGAGCAAACAGG